rnacentral:rRNA from 1 species
AGAGUUUGAUCCUGGCUCAGAACGAACGCUGGCGGCGCGUUUUAAGCAUGCAAGUCGAACGGUAGGAAUCCUUCGGGAUUCUGAGAGUGGCGAACGGGUGAGUAACACGUAGAUGAUCUGCCUUGAAGUUGGGGAUAGCCCAUAGAAAUAUGGGGUAAUACUAUGGGGUAAUACCGAAUAAUUUUUUACUGCUUUGGCAGUUUAAGGAAAGGGGCUUCGGCCUCGCUUUAAGAUGAGUCUGCGGUCUAUUAGCUAGUUGGUAGGGUAAGAGCCUACCAAGGCGACGAUAGAUAGCCGGCCUGAGAGGGUGACCGGCCACAUUGGGACUGAGACACGGCCCAAACUCCUACGGGAGGCAGCAGCUAAGAAUCUUCCGCAAUGGGCGCAAGCCUGACGGAGCGACGCCGCGUGGACGAAGAAUGCCGAGAGGUUGUAAAGUCCUUUUAUUUGCGAAGAAUAAUACCGGUAGGUAAUGAUCUUCGAUCUGACAGUACCUCAAGAGGAAGCUCCGGCUAACUCCGUGCCAGCAGCCGCGGUAAUACGGGGGGAGCGAGCGUUAUUCGGAUUCAUUGGGCGUAAAGAGUUCGUAGGCGGCCUGAUAAGUCAGAGGUGAAAUCUAACGGCUUAACCGUUAGCCUGCCUUUGAAACUGUCAGGCUUGAGUAUUGGAGAGGAAAGCGGAAUUCUUGGUGUAGCGGUGAAAUGCGUGGAUAUCAAGAGGAACACCCGUGGCGAAAGCGGCUUUCUGGCCAAAUACUGACGCUGAGGAACGAAAGCUAGGGGAGCAAACGGGAUUAGAUACCCUGGUAGUCCUAGCGGUAAACGAUGGGCACUAGGUGUAGGGGGUAUCAACUCCCCCUGUGCGGAAGCUAACGCAUUAAGUGCCCCGCCUGGGGAGUACGAUCGCAAGAUUGAAACUCAAAGGAAUUGACGGGGGCCCGCACAAGCGGUGGAGUAUGUGGUUUAAUUCGAGGCAACGCGAAGAACCUUACCUGGAUUUGACAUGUUUAGGACCGACUGUGAAAGCAGUCUUUCCCUUCGGGGAUCUUUACACAGGUGCUGCAUGGCUGUCGUCAGCUCGUGCCGUGAGGUGUUGGGUUAAGUCCCGCAACGAGCGCAACCCCUAUCUAUAGUUGCCAUCAGGUAAUGCUGGGGACUCUAUAGAGACUGCCGGUGACAAACCGGAGGAAGGUGGGGACGACGUCAAGUCCUCAUGGCCCUUACAUCCAGGGCUACACACGUACUACAAUGGCCGGUACAAUAGGAAGCAAUAUCGCGAGAUGGAGCAAAUCCCCAAAAACCGGUCUCAGUUCAGAUUGGAGUCUGCAACUCGACUCCAUGAAGGAGGAAUCGCUAGUAAUCGCUGAUCAGCAGGCAGCGGUGAAUACGUUCCCGGGCCUUGUACACACCGCCCGUCAAGCCACGGAAGCUGGGGGUACCCGAAGUCGGUCACCUAACCCGUAAGGGAAGGAGCCGCCGAAGGUAAAACUAGUGACUGGCGCUAAGUCGUAACAAGGUA